AUACGGAGGGUGCAAGCGUUAUUCGGAAUCACUGGGCGUAAAGGACGCGUAGGCGGGUUGGCAAGUCAGAUGUGAAAUCCUACAGCUUAACUGUAGAACUGCAUUUGAAACUGCUAACCUAGAGUAUGGGAGGGGGAGAUGGAAUUAGUGGUGUAGGGGUAAAAUCCGUAGAUAUUACUAGGAAUACCGAAAGCGAAGGCGAUCUCCUGGAACAUAACUGACGCUAAGGCGUGAAAGCGUGGGGAGCAAACAGGAUUAGAUACCCUUGUAGUCC
rnacentral:rRNA from 1 species